AUGGGUUUUGAUUUUGACUUCGAUAUCACUUUUAAAUUUAGCAACUGCAAUGGAAAAAGAAAAGUACAGUACGAAAGCAGUGAACCAGCAGAUUUCAAGGUGGACGAAGAUGGCAUCGUAUAUGCUGUGAGAAGCUUUCCACUCUUUUCUGAGCAGGUCAACUUCCUGAUACAUGCCCGAGAUAAAGAGACCCAGGAGAAGUGGCAAGUGGCAGUAAAACUGAGCCUCAAACCGACCUUAACUGAGGACUUAGUGAAGGAAUCACAAGUUGAAGAAAUAGUAUUCCCAAGACAACUCACUAAGCACAAUGGCUACCUACAAAGGCAGAAGAGAGACUGGGUCAUCCCGCCAAUCAACUUGCCAGUGAACUCCAGAGGACCUUUUCCCCAAGAGCUUGUCAGGAUCAGGUCUGAUAGAGAUAAAAACCUUUGCCUAUGGUACCGCGUAAUGGGGCCAGGAGCUGACCAGCCUCCGACGGGCAUCUUCAUUAUCAACCCCAUCUCAGGUCAGCUGUCAGUGACGAAGCCUCUGGAUUGAGAGCUGAUAGCCCGGUUUCAUUUGAGGGCACAUGCAGUAGACAUUAAUGGAAAUCAAGUGGAGAAUCUCAUUGACACUGUCAUCAAUGUUACUGAUAUGAGUGAUAACAGACCCGAAUCUCUGCACCAAGUUUGGAAUGGGACUGUUCCUGAAGGAUCAAAGCCUGUAUCGCGUGUGAUGACAGUGACUGCUAUUGACGCUGAUGAUGAGCAUGCGCUAAAUGGGAUGUUGAGGUACAGGAUCCUAUCUCAGGCUCUGAGCAUGCCUUCUCCCAACAUGUUCACAAUCAACAAUGAGACCGGGGACAUUAUCACAUUGGCGGCCGGGCUGGAUCGAGGGAAAGUGCCGCAGUAUACAUUAAUAAUUCAAGCUACAGACAUGGAAGGCAAUCCCACAUAUGGCCUUUCCAACACAGCCACAGCCGUCAUCACCGUGACAGAUGUCAAUGACAACCCUCCUGAGUUUACGGCCGUGACGUUCUAUGGCGAAGUCCCAGAGAACAGGGUAGAUGUCAUUGUAGCCAAUCUGUGACCGACAAGGAUCAGCAGCCCCAUAUACCAGCCUGGAAUGCAGCGUACAGAAUCAGUGGUUGGAGAUCCAACUGGCCAGUUUGCCAUUCAAACUGAUCCAAACAGCAACGAUGGAAUGGUCACUGUGGUGAAACCGAUUGACUUUGAAACAAAUAGGAUGUUUAUCCUUACAGUUGCUGCAGAAAACCAAGUGCUGUUAGCCAAGGUAAUCCAGCACCAACCCCAGUCAACUGCAGCUGUGUCUGUUAACGAAAACCCUUAUUUUGCCCCAAAUCCUAAGAUCAUUCGCCAAGAGGAAGGCCUUCAUGCAAAUACAAUGUUGACAACGUUCACUGCUCAAGACCCAGAUCGAUACAUGCAGCAAAAUAUUAGAUACACAAAAUUAUCUGAUCCUGCCCAUUGGCUUAGGAUAGAUCCUGUGAAUGGACAAAGAACUACACUCGCUGUUUUGGGCAGAGAAUCACCACAUGUGAAGAACAAUAUAUAUAAUGCUACUUUCCUUGCAUCUGACAAUGGAAUCCCUCCUAUGAGUGGAAUAGGAACACUACAGAUCUAGUUACUUGAUAGUAAUGACAAUGCCCCCAAAGUGUUACCUCAAGAGGCAGAGACUUGUGAAACUCCAGACUCCAAUUCAAUUAACAUCACAGCAGUUGAUUAUGACAUCGAUCCAAAUGCUGGACCAUUUGCAUUUGAUCUUCCUCUGUCUCCAGUGACUAUUAGGAGAAAUUGGACCAUCACUCAGCUUAAUGGUGAUUUUGCUCAGCUAAAUUUAAAGAUAAAAUUUCUUGAGGCUGGUAUCUAUGAGGUUCCCAUCGUGAUCACAGAUUUGGGUAAUCCUCCCAAAUCCAAUACAUCCAUUCUGCGUGUGAAGGUGUGCCAGUGUGGCUCCAACGGGGACUGCAUGGAUGUGGACAGGAUUGUGGGUGCAGGGCUGGGUACUGGAGCCAUCAUUGCCAUCCUCCUCUGCAUCAUUAUCCUACUGAUUCUUGUUCUGAUGUUUGUGGUGUGGAUGAAAUGCCGGGAUAAAGAACACCAGGCCAAACAACUUUUAAUCGAUCCAGAAGAUGAUGUAAGAGAUAAUAUUCUAAAAUAUGAUGAUGAAGGAGGAGGAGAAGACCAGGACUCUGACUUGAGCCAGCUCCAGCAGCCUGAUACUGUAUAGCCUAAGGCUGUAUAGCCUGAUACUGUAUAGCCUGAUACUGUAUAGCCUGAUGCCAUCAAGCCUGUAGGGAUCUGCCAACUGGAUGAGAGGCCCAUCCAUGCAGAGCUCCAGUACUCGGUCCGCUCUGCAGCCCUGCAUCCUGGGGACAUCGGGGACUUCCUUAACGAGGGCCUUAAAGCUGCUGACAAUGACCCCAUAGCCCUGCUGUAUGACUCUCUCUUGGUCUUUGACUAUGAAGGCAGUGGCUCCACCCCUGAAUCCUUGAGUCCUCUGAAUUCCUCCAGUAGUGGCGGUGAGCAGGACUAUGAUUACCUAAGCGACUGGGGACCACGGUUCAAGAAACUCGCUGACAUGUAUGGAGGAGGUGAUGACUGAACUUUAGGGUGAACUUCG